UAAAUGUCAUCCUAGUUUUCACGCCUUGUGAGCGGGUUUUGAGUGGUCAUUGGGUUAGAAUGUUUCGCUAUAACCUGGCAACCCUGUCAAUGGCGCAGCCGGUCCUCUAUCUCUGAGUCAACAUGUUAUGGAAAAUCAAGCAUAUGAUGGCCUUCAUUGAACAGGAAGCCAAUGAGAAAGCAGAAGAAAUUGACGCAAAGACAGAAGUGGAGUUUAACAUUGAAGAGGGCUGUCUGGACCUCAAGAUCAUGGCGUAUUAUGAGAAAAAAUAAAAUUCAGAUCGACCAGCAGAAGAACAUAUGAUGCCUGAGGUUAGAGUGGCUCUUUUCUGUGCCAACCUGAACCGUACAUUUUUAGGAUUAACAGGUGAUGCUGAGGGAGACAAAGGUUAAGGUAUCAUUGGAUGUGCUACUGGGAACAAGCCUCUUAUUUGGACUGGAUAUGUGGAAAGUUGAGCAGAGCCUAAGAACACCCGGUCUCUGUGACGCCCAGAAUGUUUGUUUUCUGAGGGAAUGGUUAAACAUGGAAAAGAACACCAUGGUCAUCUUCAUCUUCCCAACUUCAAGCACUUAUCUCUAGGAUCUUCCAAAGUAAGAAACUUGUUUAUGGGACACGAUGUGAGGGAGAAUGUGUGUUAAGGGUAGUGUUUUAUCCUACCUCCUCAGUUUACCACUGCUCCCUUCCCAGCACUGUGGGUUAUCUGAUUGUAAUCUACACUGCAAAACAUAUAUGAAUGCAACAAUUCCCAAAAUUUGACUUAGGUACAGUUCAUAUAAGGAAAUCAGUCAAUUGAAAUAAAUUCAUUAGGCACUAAUUUAUAGAUUUCACAUGACCGGACAUGGGU